rnacentral:rRNA from 1 species
AUGGCCACCGCCUCGCUCGCCGUCCGCUCGGCCUUCGGUGUCGCCCUGGCCGCCUUGAUCGCGGCGCGUGCCGUCCGGCGGCGUUCGCUGGACGCCUCCGGCGGAGCUGCUGGGUUCGCCGUGAUGGCGCUCCACCUUGCCUGCGGCUAUAGGUACGGUGCGCUGCUGCUGGCUUUCUUCUUCACCUCGUCCAAGGUGACCAAGAUCGGCGAGGACCGCAAGCGGCGCGUUGAGGAGGAUUUCAAGGAGGGUGGCCAGCGCAACUGGAUCCAAGUUCUUGCAAAUAGUGCAAUAGCAACUGUAUUGGUUAUCCUAUUGGCGAUAAUGACUGGGGGUCAAGAUCAAUGCUUGGACUCAAAUGGUUCAAAGGUUAUAACUGGUAUAAUAGGUGCUAUUAUUGGCCAUUAUUGCUGCUGCAAUGGAGACACUUGGUCAUCUGAAAUCGGUGUGCUUAGUGAUGAACAACCAAGGCUUGUCACUACCCUGAAGCCUGUCAGGAAAGGUACAAAUGGUGGAGUGACCUUACAAGGACUUCUUGCUGCCACAGCAGGUGGUCUAACCAUUGGUCUGACUUUUGUUGCUGUUGGACUGAUGACAGCUGAAUGUUCUUUUGAUAUGUUGUUUCAACAGCUCCUAGUAAUACCUAUCUCUGCUGCUGCUGGUUUGCUUGGGAGUCUAAUUGAUUCAUUGCUGGGUGCCACACUUCAGUUCAGCGGAUACUGCAGUGUUCGGAACAAGGUGGUCAGUAAACGGGGACCUACUGUCACCAAGAUUUCUGGAAUGACUAUCCUGGAUAAUGAUGCUGUUAAUGCAGUGUCUGUGCUGCUAACAUCGGUGAUUACAGCUUAUGCCUGCAUUUUCUUCUUCUAG